rnacentral:misc_RNA from 1 species
GAUGAAGAACGUAGCGAAAUGCGAUACGUAAUGUGAAUUGCAGAAUUCAGUGAAUCAUCGAGUCUUUGAACGCACAUUGCGCCCCUUGGUAUUCCGAGGGGCAUGCCUGUUCGAGCGUCAUUAUAACCCCUCAAGCUCAGCUUGGUGUUGGGGCCUGCUGCACUGGCAGCCCUUAAAAUCAGUGGCGGCGCCAUCUGGCUCUAAGCGUAGUAAUUCUUCUCGCUAUGGAGUCCUGGUGGAUGCUUGCCAUCAACCCCCAAUUUUUCUAUGGUUGACCUCGGAUCAGGUAGGGAUACCCGCUGAACUUAAGCAUAUCAAUAAGCGGAGGA